UACGUAGGUGGCGAGCGUUGUCCGGAUUUAUUGGGUUUAAAGGGUGCGUAGGCGGCCUUGUAAGUCAGUGGUGAAAUACUCCAGCUUAACUGGAGGGGUGCCAAUGAUACUGCAGGGCUUGAGUACAGAUGAGGUAGGCGGAAUUGACGGUGUAGCGGUGAAAUGCAUAGAUAUCGUCAAGAACACCGAUAGCGAAGGCAGCUUACUGGGCUGUAACUGACGCUGAGGCACGAAAGUGUGGGGAUCAAACAGG
rnacentral:rRNA from 1 species